rnacentral:rRNA from 1 species
AUGGCCGGCCAUCGCAGCUGCUCCUCUUGCUCCCGUGGCCCUAAGCCAAGCGAUUGGAAGAAGUGUUCCAUCCCCCACAGCCAAUUAGUAGAGUUACAAACCCAGGGGUUUCUCCCUCCAGCGUAUAUGGUCCCCGUUCGAGCCGGACUUGCCACUUACAAUGGCGAGGAGAAAGCGGAGAGCUUUCCCAACCCAUCCAUGGGGGAGCGGGUAUGCCUUGUCCCUUACUUAUUGAGGGGGCUUGGAUUUCCAAUUCAUCCGUUCCUCCACGGGCUCCUGGAGUUCUACGGCCUCCAGCUGCAUAACUUUACUCCAGCCUCCAUAUUGCACAUCGCUGGCUACGUUGCCCUCCGCGAGCUGUUUUUGGGCAGCGAAGCUCAUCUUGAGCUAUGGAAGAGGCUAUUCUGCCUCGUACCCCGUAGAUAG